GCUGCAUUUGACUAUCAUCACAGAGCUUGUAUGCAUUCUAAUAAAUUCAUCAAAGGAAAAGAUCAGGCAGGUGCCAAGUGCUGCAAAAUGACCUGGACAAAGAAUGCAGAGGGUUUAGGAGUGCUUUGCAUAAAUAGGAGAAUUAUGUGCUUCACGGAGCAAGCAGUGUUCAGGUUUAAAGACACAGAUGUGUGACAGGCAUUCAGACAGUAAAUUCUGCACCUCCAGUGAUUCUGUGAUAGAAAUGUGUGCCUAUACCUCUGUAUAAUCUGCAACAAUCGAUAAAAUCAAGCAGGUUUUUUAUGAAAACAGUUUUAUUGGAAACUUUUUUAACAGUUUAAGACUCUCUCUUGUAAGUAACUGUCCCUGGACUACUGAGGUGGGUGGAGGGCUCCAUCCCCUCCUGGCAGCCCAGGGCUGAGCCCAUAUCCCUUCCAGGACCUGGCUGCAGCACCUGCUCGCUGUUUGGCAGCCUGACAUGCUUUCUGGUUUGUCCCUUUGGAUAGUGAUAUGCUGAUUCAAGCUGUACAGGAGAAACCAACAACUCAACUCUGUAUUGUGAUGAGACUCUCAGUGCUGUAUGGACAGAAUGGGGAAGCAUUCAAGCGCGUUUCCUUUCUCAGCACGUGGGAUACAGGAGGGCAGCAAAGCAUCACCUGUGAUGAACCACUCAUGUAUCCUUCUUGUAUCUGCAGGUAUUUUGAAUACUUAAGUUUGAGAAGACGUGGGAACUGACGACUUCUGUCCUCCGAGGAGAUGGCAUGAAUUACUGCAAUUGGAAAAUAAUUAAGAAGCAAUUACAGAAGCAAACAGAAAUCCUGUGCGUACAGCCAGGCCAUUAAAAUAUGUUCUCUAAGAAAUUACCACAACCACGCUGGAAAGAAAAGCGACAUUUAAAUAAAGUUAUGGUUAUAACAAACUAAAAAGGAAGAAAAAAACCAAAGCAAUUCGUCCUGGAAAAAGUAAGUACUCAUCUGCCCCCCCCCACACUGUCAAUCUAUGCUGGUUUCUCUUUCCUUAAUUUUCUUAUGCAGAGUAAUAGUUGUACAUUUUGCACUCCUUUUUCUUACUUUGUUUUUCAGCAAGCAUUGGCUGCUCUGUGACUGUGCUGCAAACGGGAGUGUGUGCAAGUGGGACACGAGGGGAGAACAGCUUCAUGCCUCCCUUCUCCAGCAAGCAGGUAACUGUGCAUUGAAGUACGCCGGUAUUCUGCUGUUGUGCUGGGAGUGCCUCCUGCUCCACGUAUGGCAGAAUGAGACCCAUUGCUCACCACCCCACACGGCAUAUCGCUGCAUCGAUCAAACGCUGCUGCAAUAAAAGUCAGGCCCUAUCCAUGUGCCAAUACGGAGGGAUGUUUCUGAUUAUAAAUUCUCUAUGCAGAGUGCUGGCUAGCUCAUUGAAAAGGCAGAAAUCAAUGACAUUAGCACUCAUAAACCACAUGCAUUGUGACUGCUUCUCAGAACAGCCCUAAUUGGCAUAUGUCUGUCUUAUUGGCCUGCCUCAUAACAAUGCCCCAAAUGAUUCAUGAGACCAAAUAAGAAACAGGUGCAACCAAAACAGCACUCUGUGCCAAAAAUUCAUCUCUUAUGUAAGGAGAGGGGCCAAGGGCAUGGCUCAAACUGCUCCUUAUCGACUCCAGGAUGUGACUUCAACUCCCUGAAAGAAGCAUGUAGUGAAGUGGGGGUUGGACUCUGCCCCAGCAAUAAGAUGAGAGGGGAAUGGCCUCAGACUGUACAGGGAGGGUCAGGUUGGCUCUCAGAGCAAUGUCUGCUCCAGAGAGCAGCCAGGCACUGGCACAGCUGCCCAGGGGUGGGCAGUCCCCGUCCAUGGAGGUGUUCAGAGCUGUGGGGAUGUGGCACUGAGGGGGGGGCAGUGGGCACGGGGGGGCUGGGGGUCUCAGAGGGCUUUUCCAGCAUUAAUGGUUCUGUGAUUGUAUGGCAGGUGGCUGAUGGGGCAGUGAUGCUGAAUGGAAUGUGGAUGAAAUGCAACACAAAUCCCACUGAAGAAGGUCCAGAGCUUCCAAAAACAUCAACUUAAAGCAUAGAGCGAAGGCUAACAUACAAAGUGAAGCACAGAUGAUCACAUGCUAUAUCAC
ensembl:lncRNA